rnacentral:rRNA from 15 species
UCUGGCGGCAGUAGCGCGGUGGUCCCACCUGACCCCAUGCCGAACUCAGAAGUGAAACGCCGUAGCGCCGAUGGUAGUGUGGGGGCUCCCCAUGCGAGAGUAGGGAACUGCCAGAC